rnacentral:piRNA from 1 species
UGAAUCCCAGUGAAUCUGAGUUUGAGG